rnacentral:rRNA from 1 species
CGCCGGACCUGACUGCUAUCGGAUUGAUACUAAGCCAUGCUAGUCUUUGUAGUAAUACAAGGCAUACGGCUCAGUAACGCGUAGUCAACCUACCCUAUGGACGGGGAUAAUCUCGGGAAACUGAGCAUAAUACCCGGUAGACCACUUCUCCUGGAAUGGUUAGUGGUUAAAAUGAUUCGUCGCCAUAGGAUGGGACUGCGGCCUAUCAGCUUGUUGGUGAGGUAAUGGCCCACCGAGGCGAUUACAGGUACGGGCUCUGAGAGGAGGAGCCCGGAGAUGGGUACUGAGACAAGGACCCAGGCCCUAUGGGGCGCAGCAGGCGAGAAAACUUUGCAAUGUGCGAAAGCACGACAAGGUUAAUCCGAGUGAUUUCUGCUAAAGGAAUCUUUUGUUAGUUCUAAAUAUACUAGUGAAUAAGGGGUGGGCAAGUUCUGGUGUCAGAC